UACGUAGGGGGCAAGCGUUGUCCGGAAUUAUUGGGCGUAAAGAGCGCGUAGGCGGUCCGAUAAGUCGGCUGUGAAAGUCAGGGGCUCAACCCCUGAAUGCCGGCCGAUACUGUCGGGCUAGAGUCCGGAAGAGGCGAGUGGAAUUCCCGGUGUAGCGGUGAAAUGCGCAGAUAUCGGGAGGAACACCAAUGGCGAAGGCAGCUCGCUGGGACGGUACUGACGCUGAGACGCGAAAGCGUGGGGAGCGAACAGG
rnacentral:rRNA from 1 species